AUGACCCUCCUCGCGUGGCGUCUCCACCUUCCGGUCCAUCCGCGAGAAAGCUGCCCCUGUUGCCUCUUGUUCUUGGCCGCAGAGAUCCUUGGACGACCCGUGUGCCUUGCCGUGACGCUGGUGGAAUUCCUUGAUCCUUCGGCCGCCAAGACCGCAAGGCCGCCACUAACAGAAGGAGCCCACGACCACCACAUCAACCUGCCCCUCUUGUCGUUGCCAAAACCACCAAUCCAGGAAACACCAAGACCAAACGUUUUUGUUUUCGCCAAGUUCCGUCAAACUGACCGUGUACGUCUACCGUCGCCGUGGGUUCUUUUUUUUCAUAAAGUUCGACUACAGCACGAAGAUGUGAACAACUACGCGGAGUCGCGGAGAACGAAUACACAUGGGACCCGUCAAGUUCUUCUACGCGCGUGUACGACUACACAUCCGAGAUGCGUCGAGUACCUCUACGGAAGACCCGAACGUCUACGAUCCGUGUACCACGACCGUUGCCAAAGACCGUCGAGUGAACAACUACCCUCUCCGUGGACUCGACAAGACAAUUUGUACAACUACUUCCACGACGACCGUGCUCCACUACCGUUGCAAGAACGAGAUCGACGAGUCUGA
rnacentral:rRNA from 1 species